CGUGCAGGCGGGUUGGUAAGUCAGAUGUGAAAGCCCUGGGCUCAACCCAGGAAGUGCAUUUGAAACUGCCAUCCUUGAGCAUGGGAGAGGAGAGUGGAAUUCCCAAUGUAGAGGUGAAAUUCGUAGAUAUUGGGAGGAACACCCGUGGCGAAGGCGACUCUCUGGACCAAUACUGACGCUGAGACGCGAAAGCGUGUGGAGCAAACAGGAUUAGAUACCCUGGUAGUCC
rnacentral:rRNA from 1 species